rnacentral:rRNA from 1 species
GUCUGCCAGUAGUCAUAUGCUUUGUCUCAAAGAUUAAGCCAUGCAUGUCUAAGUACAUGCCGUAUUAAGGCGAAACCGCGAAUGGCUCAUUAAAUCAGUCAUGGUUCCUUGGAUCGUACCUUACUACUUGGAUAACUGUGGCAAUUCUAGAGCUAAUACAUGCAGCAGAGCUCCGACCUUCGGGGACGAGCGCUUUUAUUAGACCAAAACCAAUCGGACCUCGUGUCCGUCUCUUGUGGUGACUCUGUAUAACUUUGGGCUGAUCGCACGGGCCUGUCCCGGCGACGUAUCUUUCAAGUGUCUGCCUUAUCAACUUUCGAUGGUAGGUUACGCGCCUACCAUGGUCGUAACGGGUAACGGGGAAUCAGGGUUCGAUUCCGGAGAGGGAGCCUGAGAAACGGCUACCACAUCCAAGGAAGGCAGCAGGCGCGCAAAUUACCCACUCCCAGAACGGGGAGGUAGUGACGAAAAAUAACAAUACGGGACUCUUUUGAGACCCCGUAAUUGGAAUGAGUACACUCUAAAUCCUUUAACGAGGAUCCAUUGGAGGGUAAGUCUGGUGCCAGCAACCGCGGUAAUUCCAGCUCCAAUAGCGUAUAUUAAAGUUGUUGCGGUUAAAAAGCUCGUAGUUGGAUCUCAGUUCCAGACGGGUGGUCCUCCUACCGGUGGUUACUGCCUGUUCUGAACAGUCAGCCGGUUUCUCUUGAUGAUCUUCACCGGUUGUCUUGGGUGACCGGCAAGUUUACUUUGAAAAAAUUAGAGUGCUCAAAGCAGGCGUGACGCCUGAAUAAUGGUGCAUGGAAUAAUGGAAUAGGACCUCGGUUCUAUUUUGUUGGUUUUCGGAACACGAGGUAAUGAUUAAGAGGGACAGACGGGGGCAUUCGUAUUGCGACGCUAGAGGUGAAAUUCUUGGACCGUCGCAAGACGAACUACUGCGAACAUUUUUCUGCCCGGAGAAAAA